rfam:Cryptosporangium arvum DSM 44712 genomic scaffold CryarDRAFT_CAH.1, whole genome shotgun sequence.
CUUCACCGACCCCAGCAGCAGGGGCUCCGCCCGGUCCUGCCCAUACGUGGCGAGCAGCGCCUGCGCCUC